GGUUUGGUGGCACCCGGAGCAGGGGGCGAGGGAUUCCCAACCGUGGAUCCCAAAGGCGAUGGAGGACGAGGAGGAGGCAGGAGGCAGGACAUGACUUUUAUUAACCAUUAGAAACCAUAAGAAACCACAUUAUUCCUUAAAGUUUUACAUCCAGUAGUUGCUGGGGUGUUUUAACUCUUCCCCCGAUCCUCUCAGGCUGGAGGAGCCGCUGGAUUGGGAAGGACUGGGGGGAACGGGUGUCCCCACGGCCCCUCCCGACCCCCGGGACAGCUUCGCUUUGGAGAAGGAACUUUGGAGAAGCAGCAGCUUUGGAUCCGAUCUGGGACCUCUGAGAAAGCAGCAUUUGGGUUUCAAGGGGCGGAAAGAGCGGCCCGCGGCCUCCCCGCUGUGUUUCCCGCGGAUCCCUCGGGGUGUGGAGCAGCGGGAGGAGGAUGCGGGAGAGCCACGAGGAUGCUCCGGGCCGGGAAAACACGUCAGGGACCCUCCCAAAACCGAACUGGGCUUUGCUUUCUCUGAAACGCCCCCAAACCUCCUCCAGCCGAGAAGGUUGAGGGGGGUUCCCUUCUCCAGCAAACCCCGGGUUCCUCCCGGCGAGCCCAGAGCGGGAGGAAGCGGGGUUGGAAAGCUUGGAAAAUCCCUGCGGUUCGGCUGGGAAGAGGGAAAACCAAAGCAAAGCGAGUCCCGAAGGGGGUUUUGGGGCAGGAUUCCACGCCCGGGAGGGGGCACGGCUGCCCCGCCGCCCGCAACCCCCGCCCGCCGGGAGCGGGACCGGCGGGAUAAAUAUAAAUUAAGUGACGGGGGGGAGGGCGAAGGGUCCCGGCAAAUCCCAAACCUCACACGCGGCGUUGGGGUGUCGGGGUUGGAGCACCCCGGGAGCACCCGGAGAAUUCCAGGGAGAAGAACGGAGAUGUUGGCGGCGAGCCGUGCUCUGAGCCGGGGGGGUCGGGGGGGCUCGGGACCCCCAACCAAACCCUGUCCCUGCUCCUGCCUCAGUUUCCCCACCUGCGCCGGGGAUGCCGACCCCCCCCGAGCUCCAAAGGGAGGGAACAAUAAAUACUAUUUCAUAGAAAGGCUCCGUUUUGAGGAAAAAAAAAUAAAAAUCACCGAAACCUUCUCAUAAAAUCAUUUAUUUUAAAUAUUUCCC
rnacentral:lncRNA from 1 species